GACGUAGGGGGCCAGCGUUGUUCGGAUUUAUUGGGUGUAAAGGGCAGGUAGGUUGUUGUGCAAGUCUGGUGUGAAAGCCCAUGGCUCAACCAUGGAAUGGCAUUGGAAACUGCAUGACUUGAGUAUCGGAGAGGUGAAGGGAAUUCUCGGUGUAAGAGUGAAAUCUGUAGAUAUCGAGAGGAACACCAGUGGCGAAGGCGCUUCACUGGCCGAUUACUGACACUGAGCUGCGAAAGCAAGGGGAGCAAACAGG
rnacentral:rRNA from 1 species